rnacentral:rRNA from 1 species
UACAGAGGGUGCGAGCGUUAAUCGGAGUUACUGGGCGUAAAGGGCGCGUAGGCGGUCAUUUAAGAUUGAUGUGAAAUCCCUGGGCUUAACCUAGGAACUGCAUUGAUUACUGGAUGGCUGGAGUACUGUAGAGGGUAGUGGAAUUUCCGGUGUAGCGGUGAAAUGCGUAGAGAUCGGAAGGAACACCAGUGGCGAAGGCGGCUACCUGGACAGAUACUGACGCUGAGGCGCGAGAGCGUGGGGAGCAAACAGG